GGGUUGUGAGGUUAAGCGACUAAGCGUACACGGUGGAUGCCCUGGCAGUCAGAGGCGAUGAAGGACGUGCUAAUCUGCGAAAAGCGUCGGUAAGGUGAUAUGAACCGUUAUAUCCGGCGAUGUCCGAAUGGGGAAACCCAGUGCAAUUCGUUGCACUAUCGUUAACUGAAUACAUAGGUUAACGAGGCGAACCGGGGGAACUGAAACAUCUAAGUACCCCGAGGAAAAGAAAUCAACCGAGAUUCCCCCAGUAGCGGCGAGCGAACGGGGAGCAGCCCAGAGUCUGAAUCAGCUUGUGUGUUAGUGGAACGGUCUGGAAAGUCCGACGGUACAGGGUGAUAGUCCCGUACACCAAAAUGCACAGGUUGUGAACUCGAAGAGUAGGGCGGGACACGUGGUAUCCUGUCUGAAUAUGGGGGGACCAUCCUCCAAGGCUAAAUACUCCUGACUGACCGAUAGUGAACCAGUACCGUGAGGGAAAGGCGAAAAGAACCCCGGCGAGGGGAGUGAAAAAGAACCUGAAACCGUGUACGUACAAGCAGUGGGAGCACCUUCGGGUGUGACUGCGUACCUUUUGUAUAAUGGGUCAGCGACUUAUAUUCUGUAGCAAGGUUAACCGUAUAGGGGAGCCGCAGGGAAACCGAGUCUUAACUGGGCGUUAAGUUGCAGGGUAUAGACCCGAAACCCGGUGAUCUAGCCAUGGGCAGGUUGAAGGUUGGGUAACACUAACUGGAGGACCGAACCGACUAAUGUUGAAAAAUUAGCGGAUGACUUGUGGCUGGGGGUGAAAGGCCAAUCAAACCGGGAGAUAGCUGGUUCUCCCCGAAAGCUAUUUAGGUAGCGCCUCGUGAACUCAUCUUCGGGGGUAGAGCACUGUUUCGGCUAGGGGGUCAUCCCGACUUACCAACCCGAUGCAAACUACGAAUACCGAAGAAUGUUAUCACGGGAGACACACGGCGGGUGCUAACGUCCGUCGUGAAGAGGGAAACAACCCAGACCGCCAGCUAAGGUCCCAAAGUCAUGGUUAAGUGGGAAACGAUGUGGGAAGGCACAGACAGCCAGGAUGUUGGCUUAGAAGCAGCCAUCAUUUAAAGAAAGCGUAAUAGCUCACUGGUCGAGUCGGCCUGCGCGGAAGAUGUAACGGGGCUAAACCAUGCACCGAAGCUGCGGCAGCGACACUAUGUGUUGUUGGGUAGGGGAGCGUUCUGUAAGCCUGCGAAGGUGACCUGUGAGGGUUGCUGGAGGUAUCAGAAGUGCGAAUGCUGACAUAAGUAACGAUAAAGCGGGUGAAAAGCCCGCUCGCCGGAAGACCAAGGGUUCCUGUCCAACGUUAAUCGGGGCAGGGUGAGUCGACCCCUAAGGCGAGGCCGAAAGGCGUAGUCGAUGGGAAACAGGUUAAUAUUCCUGUACUUGGUGUUACUGCGAAGGGGGGACGGAGAAGGCUAUGUUAGCCGGGCGACGGUUGUCCCGGUUUAAGCAUGUAGGCUGGUUGUCCAGGCAAAUCCGGAUAAUCAAGGCUGAGGUGUGAUGACGAGGCACUACGGUGCUGAAGUAACAAAUGCCCUGCUUCCAGGAAAAGCCUCUAAGCAUCAGGUAACAUUAAAUCGUACCCCAAACCGACACAGGUGGUCAGGUAGAGAAUACCAAGGCGCUUGAGAGAACUCGGGUGAAGGAACUAGGCAAAAUGGUGCCGUAACUUCGGGAGAAGGCACGCUGGUGUGUAGGUGAAGCCCCUGCGGGUGGAGCUGAGACCAGUCGAAGAUACCAGCUGGCUGCAACUGUUUAUUAAAAACACAGCACUGUGCAAACACGAAAGUGGACGUAUACGGUGUGACGCCUGCCCGGUGCCGGAAGGUUAAUUGAUGGGGUUAUCCGUAAGGAGAAGCUCUUGAUCGAAGCCCCGGUAAACGGCGGCCGUAACUAUAACGGUCCUAAGGUAGCGAAAUUCCUUGUCGGGUAAGUUCCGACCUGCACGAAUGGCGUAAUGAUGGCCAGGCUGUCUCCACCCGAGACUCAGUGAAAUUGAACUCGCUGUGAAGAUGCAGUGUACCCGCGGCAAGACGGAAAGACCCCGUGAACCUUUACUAUAGCUUGACACUGAACAUUGAGCCUUGAUGUGUAGGAUAGGUGGGAGGCUUUGAAGCGUGGACGCCAGUCUGCGUGGAGCCAACCUUGAAAUACCACCCUUUAAUGUUUGAUGUUCUAACGUUGGCCCCUUACCGGGGUUGCGGACAGUGUCUGGUGGGUAGUUUGACUGGGGCGGUCUCCUCCCAAAGCGUAACGGAGGAGCACGAAGGUUAGCUAAUCCUGGUCGGACAUCAGGAGGUUAGUGCAAUGGCAUAAGCUAGCUUGACUGCGAGCGUGACGGCGCGAGCAGGUGCGAAAGCAGGUCAUAGUGAUCCGGUGGUUCUGAAUGGAAGGGCCAUCGCUCAACGGAUAAAAGGUACUCCGGGGAUAACAGGCUGAUACCGCCCAAGAGUUCAUAUCGACGGCGGUGUUUGGCACCUCGAUGUCGGCUCAUCACAUCCUGGGGCUGAAGUAGGUCCCAAGGGUAUGGCUGUUCGCCAUUUAAAGUGGUACGCGAGCUGGGUUUAGAACGUCGUGAGACAGUUCGGUCCCUAUCUGCCGUGGGCGCUGGAGAAUUGAGGGGGGCUGCUCCUAGUACGAGAGGACCGGAGUGGACGCAUCACUGGUGUUCGGGUUGUCAUGCCAAUGGCACUGCCCGGUAGCUAAAUGCGGAAGAGAUAAGUGCUGAAAGCAUCUAAGCACGAAACUUGCCCCGAGAUGAGUUCUCCCUGAGACUUUAAGUCUCCUGAAGGAACGUUGAAGACGACGACGUUGAUAGGCCGGGUGUGUAAGCGCAGCGAUGCGUUGAGCUAACCGGUACUAAUGAACCGUGAGGCUUAACCUUACAACGCCGAAG
rnacentral:rRNA from 1 species